ensembl:lncRNA
ACCCUCAUGAUGGUUCAAGAGGACUGAAGCGGCCCGGUCCAGCCAGCCCGCCUGUCACAGAUAACCAUCACGGGGCUGGAGCCAAUGGUACAACUGGAUGUGGCAGAAACCUUGGACCACUGGACAAAACCCUGAGAGGGAUUGUCAGAAGAUCCUCUGACCAAUCCUGAGGAAAUCUGGUACACUGAUGGAAGCAGCUUUGUCUUGGAUGGAAAAAGGAGAGCCGGGUCCCCAAUCAAAUAUGGUGAUCAGAUUCUUCAACUCUUGGAGGCAGUCCAUCUGCCCACUGAGGUUUCAGUCUCCCACUGUAAAGGACACCAAAAAGGGAACAUGGAAGUGGCACGAGGGAACCAAGCAGCUGAUCAGGCAGC